rnacentral:lncRNA from 1 species
GGGCGGCUUGCUAAAACACCUCUCGGGCCCUGGGUAGGAAGUAGGCUAAGAAAACUUCAUAUUCUCUAGUAUCUAUUUUAUAUGAGCCCAAGAAGGGAGAAAGGAAAGGACAAAUAUCUCCCUGAGGGUGGAGACAGAAGACACAGAGAACAAGAACCAAGUUGAAUCCUCCAGGAGAGCAGAGUCCGGGCCUCGUGAAGAGAUUCUGAAUUCUGGACUUUGAGCUCAAUGCCAUGACUGAGGAAGACCACGGGGUUUUCUCUCUUAGAGGGGAGGAAUCCUUGAUAUUCUUCAUUCCAAUUGUUCACCUCUACUGUAGGGCUCAGUAAACACUUAAGGAAGUUGCCGUGCACUGCAGCCUGCCGGAGACAUGAAGGAAUGUACGGGAGGAUAAUCGCAACAUCAUCAACCCAAUUCUCCAAGUAAUUUGCCAUGGGACAGGCACACCCCAUGUGUUUGGGAAGACAAUGGGAAGGUUCUGUUUUCUGCUCCAAGACUGAUUCAACCAGUUGGAUCUGGAAGGGGAUAAAGGGCUGUGUGGCUGCUUGAUUUUCAUUGUCUAGUGGCAGCCAAAAUUGGAAAAGAGAGAAGUGCAGACUUUAAAGACAAGCAGCGACAGCUCAUCAGCAGUCUAACAACACGACAGAUGACAGGCCCAGAGGCACACCCAGGGCCGCCAGCCCAUCACCCUGUGCAGGAUGUCAAAGAGCAGCUGCAGCAAAGGAAGAAGAUCAUCCAGACUUAAAUGUUUGGGCCUUGCUAAGACCAUAGAGUCUUUGUGCUUUGGAAACAGUCCUCCAUACAAAGACCCCUUCCUAGAAAAGAGUGGAAAGAAACCAAGGUGGAAUGGAUACAACAGAAAGGAGACCAUGCUAAUAUUCUUGUGCAAUGCUUCCUGGGCAGAAAUUAUGUCAUAAAGGAUGUUCCAUUCUGCAAAGCUAUGUGUCUCUCUGUGGUUUGCCUCAGAGGAGGGGCCUUUCAUAGCUGUAGUGAGUAAGGGGGCCCUUGCUGAUGUUCAUCAGAUAUGCCAAGGCACAGGAAGAAAGCAUUGAGGUCACAGGGCAGCUCAGGUCCGCCUGUGGUAAUUGAAAACAGGUGACGAGAUUGGGUUGAUUUUAUUUUGGAAAAGUAAAUUAGUGCUGCACCACUCGGACAUGGCUAAUUCAUGAAGCCUCUGGUUUGUAUUAGACACCCAACAUGCCUUUCAGAAAGAAAUGACACAACAAUUAAUGUGUCAAAUAAUAAUGUGCCACUCGGAGAAAGAUAAUUGUACCCAUCGUCAGGUAGUUAUUAGGUCGAACGAAUGCUCAUCCUUUCAAAGGCAACAGCGUCUAUUCAUUCUGGCAUCCUACUGUAAGUACAGUAUUGUGUUCAUAAUCACACAGACUGAAGCCAGGAACACUGGGUUUUAUCUGAUUUUUCUCCAUUUGGAAUUGUACUCCGAUGAUUCCCUAAACAGCAAACUCAGUCAUGUGAAACACAAAUGAGUGUGAUGAAAGACAGAUUGUUAUACUGCAGGAGAGGCUUUCUGUGCUUUUCACAUAAUAUAGAGCAUGAGGACUGUUCCCAAGAAGGUUUAAGCAUAUGUAACAAAAACUACCAGACCUGAAUUUGCUCAUGUGUAAAUGAUAGUCUUUCCUUCUGGUGAUUUAAUGCAUGAGGACAUCAAUCAGUCACAUCAUGGCCUCAGAAGUCCUUGUUCAAUUUCUGAUGCCAUAACUUACUCGAUGUGGGAUUUGGACAAGUCAUUUAACUUCACUGCAAUUCUGUUUCCCUCAUUUGAAAAAUAGAAAUAGAAAAGCCUGCUGUAUAUUUAGGUCCACAUCUGUUGGGGAGGUCAAAGAAGAAAGAAUAUGAAAAGUUGUUUGUAAAUAUAAAGAACCAUGUAAAUAUAAGACAUUGUUUUAUUAAUGCUCCAGAUCAAUUAACUUUCAGUGAAUGAUAAAAUGUGACAUCUUUUCAACAGAGACAGUUUUACUUAAGAAAAACUAGGCAAUGGCUUCUGUCCUUACAAAUGAAAAACUUCAUAAUAAAUGGGGGCUCUCAAGACCACCUGGCCAAAACUGAACUAAAUACUCACUUCAUUCAACCAAGAAUGAGGAACUGAAAUACAUGAUUAUUAUAUAUGCAUAUGCUUCUGUUUCAUCUACUUGGGCAUGCUUGUGAUGAGAUAUGAAAAAUUAGCCAUCUUUAGAAGGAAAGAAAUAUUGUAUUUGGGGGUAUUUCUUCUGUACAG